UAUGAGCUCCUAAAAAUAUUGGUUUGAAUUUUAAUUCUGGCCAAUAUUUUCAUAGAGAAACAUGAACAUUUUCUUGGACCUAUUUGAAGCAAUUUUUAUCUUGGUCUUUUUCAGAAAUGAUUUCUGAGGCUUUCACAUGUCCCCAUUUCAAAUUCAUUGAAAUUUAAACAUGAUGCACACAUGACUAGCUAGCCUAGAGUAAACCAAAACUAGGGAUGUGACAAGAAUGGCCUCCUCUUAUUGCGAACCACACUGAUGUUGGCUUCUGAUUUCUGCUGUAAUGGAUUAUUUACUAUGGACAAAUAUGACAACAUUCAUUUGGAGCACCGUUUCUUGAGGCUAUGUCUCUUCUACAGGUAUGACAUUAUCGUUGGAACGUAUACUAUGUCUAUUUGAUAUAUCUAUGAAUAUAUCCUUCCAGAGAAUACUUGUUUUUGUAUUAUAUUGUUUAUGUAUGCCCAAACCAAUGGUAGCUGCUUAUUGUUUAUGUAUGCCCAAACCAAUGGUAGCUGUUUACUGAUAAAGGAAAGGUGUAACAUAUGUGUUAUAGAAUCCAACAGAUCACCUGCUUACUGUUUAUAUAUGCAAAGAGUAAUGCUUGUUGCCCACUUAUAAUAAAGGGAAGUUAACUAGCAAAUAAAUAAUCUAUGGGUUGCAGAAUCCAGUAGACCAUGUGCUUACUGUUUUCAUACAUUGCCGUCUGCUGCUUCUUAUUCCUUUGUAAGCCUCUGAUUCCAACUAUGAUGUGCUUCUAGGUUGAUCGUCCGGCUGGGUAGUAGGUUGAUUUCUCUCUUUGGUUGGCUUGUUAUCUGCUGCUUUGCCUAACAAUGUUUGUGCUUGCUCUUUACAGCUCUAUUAAACACGGUCUGUCAUGUAGGUUUCUAAUUCAUUCUAUUCUACAGGUCCUGUUGUACUUGCAUUGCCUUGCCUUUUUAUCUGCUGCUCUGUUGGCUGGGCGACUACUUCUGCUGCUAUAUUGAUUAUUGUCGCCUCUUUCUCCAUUGUAAGAGCAUCUCCAGCCGUUGAGCCCCUCAGGAGGCAUUUUUUUCGCCGCUUGGGGGGCUGCCGGUGAUACUUCUGACAUGGGGGUGAAGAAACUUCCACUCGUUGCCCUCCCCCAACGGCUCGUCUCCUCUCUGCCUCGCCAUGCCGCCUCCACCUCCAUGGCCACCUGCUUCUGCUCCGCCUCCUCUCCACCCGACCUCGCCGGCAGCGGCGGCAGCCGGCUCAGCAUCUUCGGCCGCUCGCCCGUCCGCGCCCGCCCAGGCCGCGCCCGCUCGCCGGCCGCGCACUCCCGCGUUCCCAGGCCGCGCGCUCCCGCGGGCGCGCUCGCCCGUCCGCGUCCGCCCGCUCGUCCGUCCGCGCCCGCUUCCGCGCCCGCCCCCUCGCCCAGGCCGCGCCCUCAAGCACGCGGACGCCCCAGCUGCCGCGACCGCGUUGUCCGUCCGGCUCCGCCCGUGGAGCCUCCGCACUGCGCUUCUGCCCCCCGCCUGGCUCGAGGAGGCCAUGCGCUUCUGCAUCCCGGAGCCGGCUGGGCGCGCGGCGCAGAGGGGUGGCGCGGGCUGGCUGGCGGGAGGCCGGGUGCGCUUCCGGGCGCGCGGCGCAGAGGGGUGGCGGCGCGGCGCGGAGGGGUGGAGGCCGGGCGCGGCGACCCGACGCGGGGUGCGGCCGCAGAUGGCUGGCGGUGUGGCGCGCAUGGCCGGGCACGGCGGCGACACGGCAGGCCUGAGCUGCGGGAAGGCACCGGGGCGGGGCGGCGCGCGCAGCCGGGCGCGGCGGCGACGCGGUGGGCCUGAGCUGCGGGAAGGCACCGGGGCGGGGCGGCGCGCGCGGCCGGGCGCGGCGGCGACGCGGCGGGAGCUGUGGGAAGGCACCGGGCAUGGCGAGAGAGAAAGCGGACGGAGAGAGAGGGAAGGUGGGGGCUCUGCGAGGAGAAAGUGGUGAAAGCGACGGGGGAGUGGCUGCAGGUGGGCCACAGGAGGCAAAAAAGUGGCGCCGGCACGCCCAGCUGCCCCCCGGGGGGCUGGGUUCGUGGUGGGACUACCGGCGCUAUUUUUCUAUAAAGCCGGUGAAAAGUGACGCUUUGGGAGCGGGAGUGGGAGGAUUUUUUGCCACCGAUGCUAAAAAAGUGGCCUGGGGGCGUUCCUGGGGGCUCGGCUGGAGAUGCUCUAAGAUGUUGUGUUCAGUCCAGCGCCGUGCCUACGGCACAAAUUCGUUGGCCUCAACAACGCUCCCGGCGCCGUGGAUGCACCCACCAGCAAGCUCAGGCCAAGGGAUACAUGAUAUCGUGUGCUUGUACUAAAAAAGGUGUUCUGCCAUCCCAUCGAUUCUAGCACAGCUCGAAGCGGCCAAGUCAAGGAGGAUCUAUAAAAUUAUUUGAUCGUCUCUCUCUCUAUAUAUAUGUGUUGUCUGGUGCAUGUAUGGCUGAGAAUAGGGAGAGAGAGCAAGUUUAAUUUUCAUUAGGCAUUCAAAUUCUUAUUUUGCUUUUCUCAGAUUUUUGGCUGGGUGUUUAAAUAUACUUGCACACACUGGUUUCAGAUUUCAGUGUAAACUACAAAUAGGGGGCAAAUUAUAGUGAUUUUUCCAAAUUAGAAAUAGGGAGAAGGGAAAUUAUUGAUUAUUGUGUGCAUGUAUAACUAAUUGGAUUACUGGUUGAACGAGUGCAGAUUUGAGAAAGAAGAAAUAGGGCCAAUAAAAUUAGGUGGGAGGUAUGCUGAUGGGUUCAUUUUAGCAUCCUGAAGGUAUGAUGCAUAUUGCCUUGCUCUGAUUUGCUUAUUUGAAUGUGUUUGUGUACAUGAAAGUUCAUUUCGUUAUUUUUGCUCUUUGAGGGAUAUAGGAGGAGAGAUAUCUAUUGUUGAAAUUUGAUGAUAAAAAUAUAGCCAUUAUUGUUACAAGCAUUGUUGUUCCAGUUUUUUUAGUUAUUAAUCAUGCCAUUUUUCUUUCUGCCUUUAUAGCUGAAAGAUUAGUGAGACUGACUAAAUUCUGAACAUGUUCCAUGUGAGAAAUAGCAUGUUGAUUUCAUCUUGAAAUAAUCAUAGAUGAGGGACGAGGUUCAUAAUUGAGGGUCAUGUGCAGAGCUGGAGGAAGAAGUUGCGAGGCUUGAAACUCUCCUUGUGAACAGCACUGAGGAUAAUGCCUCUUUAAUUGUAAUUGUGAUACUCCUGAUGUGCAAGUAAACACUCCUGUGGUACUCCUUAUGCUAAAAUGUUGGUUGUUAGUAUAGAGGUGGUGACAUUAUUUGGUUCUCUGGUAUUGAUUUAAUGAUUUGUGGUUAAUACAUGAUGUAAUACAGUCCACAUUGUAUUAUAUUUUCAGUUACAUCUCCUACUUACUCA